rnacentral:lncRNA from 1 species
UUUCCAAUCUUCUCUUCUAUCUUCUACUUUAGAGGUUCCUGAUCAUUUUGGGAGCUUCCUUGAGUUCAAGACUUCACCUUGGAUCACUAGUACCAAAAUCAAAGAGCUAAAAUUGCAUAAUGUAAAAGUAUGGAGGAGGCAAAGCCGUUGUUGGGCUUUAUACUGCUGGGUUGCUGGACUUAUUUACCGAGCUGAUUCUGUUGAGUUACUUCUGGGCUGCUGCUUAGUUAUAAUGGGCUCAGCCGAUCAGGUGUAUGACGACUAACGGACUAAAUAUAUAAUAGCCCAAUCUUAGCAUUUACCUAUAUAUUAAUAAACGAAUGAAUAAAAAGUUAUUUUUGUA